GCCGCAGAGAUGCGGUUUCCUUAUGGUCCCAUCACAGGUGGUGCAUGGCUGUCGUCAGCUCGUGUCGUGAGAUGUUGGGUUAAGUCCCGCAACGAGCGCAACCCUUGUCCUAUGUUGCCAGCGCGUAAUGGCGGGGACUCGUGGGAGACUGCCGGCGACAAGUCGGAGGAAGGUGGGGACGACGUCAAGUCAUCAUGCCCCUUAUGCCCAGGGCUGCAAACAUGCUACAAUGGCCGGUACAAAGGGCUGCGAAACCGUGAGGUCAAGCGAAUCCCAUAAAGCCGGUCUCAGUUCGGAUUGGAGUCUGCAACUCGACUCCAUGAAGCCGGAGUCGCUAGUAAUCCCGGAUCAGCAACGCCGGGGUGAAUA
rnacentral:rRNA from 1 species